AGGAUUCGCACUUUUGGUUUUACCAGGGCUGUUGUCAGACUUUUUUGUCAUGAUUUUUCUGGCAGAAAAUGUAAACGUACCAUAAAUUUUUUAUAGCAUUG